CUUUGUGGAGCCACAACGUGCACAAUGCGAAUGGGCCCUUUGAUUUUUUUCCGUGACACAUGAAACUUUCAGCAGUGCCCCGGGCUAUUUCCAAAGCAGGUCAUGCUGCCUUUCAGUGACAGGGCUGCCCAGCGAGCAUUUGUGUGUUUGCAUGAAGAGGACUGCACACCCACGGCUGGCAGCCCGGGCAGAAAAGAUGGAUCACACUGAACGGAGACAUAUCCAAUAUAGUCUCUCUUAAGACUAUGGAGAGGCUCUGACUGAAGUCCAACUGUAAAGGUGCUGUGAAGAAUAGCUGCAAAYAAACCUCUUCUAAGCCUAAAAAGAUAUAAAAGCCUUAACACACAAAAUUUCACUCCCUUGGAGUUCAUCUUCAGGGACCUACC